rnacentral:rRNA from 1 species
GACGAACGCUGGCGGCGUGCCUAAUACAUGCAAGUUGAGCGCUGAAGGUUGGUACUUGUACCAACUGGAUGAGCAGCGAACGGGUGAGUAACGCGUGGGGAAUCUGCCUUUGAGCGGGGGACAAAAUUUGGAAACGAAUGCUAAUACCGCAUAAAAACUUUAAACACAAGUUUUAAGUUUGAAAGAUGCAAUUGCAUCACUCAAAGAUGAUCCCGCGUUGUAUUAGCUAGUCGGUGAGGUAAAGGCUCACCAAGGCGAUGAUACAUAGCCGACCUGAGAGGGUGAUCGGCCACAUUGGGACUGAGACACGGCCCAAACUCCUACGGGAGGCAGCAGUAGGGAAUCUUCGGCAAUGGACGAAAGUCUGACCGAGCAACGCCGCGUGAGUGAAGAAGGCUUUCGGAUCGUAAAACUCUGUUGGUAGAGAAGAACGUUGGUGAGAGUGGAAAGCUCAUCAAGUGACGGUAACUACCCAGAAAGGGACGGCUAACUACGUG